rnacentral:ncRNA from 1 species
GGUCAAGCUAAUAAGAGCGCAAGGGGAAAUGCCCUUGGCAUCAGGAGCCGAUGAAGGACGUGGCAAGCUGCGAUAAGCUUCGGUGAGGCGCAAACAGCCUUUGACCCGGAGAUUUCCGAAUGGGGAAACCCGGCGGAGCAAUACUCCGUCAACCUGCGUUGAAUAAAAUAGGCGUAGGUAGGGAACCGCCUGAACUGAAACAUCUAAGUAGGGCGAGGAAGAGAAAUCAACAGAGAUUCCGCAAGUAGUGGCGAGCGAACGCGGAAGAGGGCAAACCGGUGGAUUUAUCCACCGGGGUUGUGGACUGACAUCACGGCACAAUAGUUUAGCCGAACGGCAUGGGAAGGCCGGCCAUAGCGGGUGAGAGCCCCGUAGGUGAAAGACGAAUUGUGUCAGUCGGUAUCCAGAGUACCGCGGGACACGUGAAACCCCGUGGGAAGCUGGGGGGACCACCCUCCAACCCUAAAUACUACCUGAUGACCGAUAGAGGAGCAGUACCGUGAGGGAAAGGUGAAAAGGACCCCGGGAGGGGAGUGAAAUAGAACCUGAAACCUUGUGCUUACAAGCACUCAAAGCCCGUUAACGGGUGAUGAGGUACCUUUUGUAGAAUGGGUCCGGCGAGUUAUUGUUACUGGCAAGCUUAAGGUAUUGAGUACCGGAGGCGAGGGAAACCGAGUGUGAACAGCGCGUAUGAAGUCAGUGGCAAUAGACCGAACCGGGUGACCUAUCCAUGGUCAGUGAGUGGGGUAAACCCAUGAGACCGACGCACGCCCGUUGCAUGUCGCGAUGACCUGGUGAUAGCGGGU